GGUGAGAUGGCUCAGUGGGUAAGAGCACCCGACUGCUCUUCGGAAGGUCCAGAGUUCAAAUCUCAGCAACCA
rfam:Mus musculus chromosome 11, GRC primary reference assembly.